UACGGGGGGGGGCAAGCGUUGUUCGGAAUUACUGGGCGUAAAGGGCGCGUAGGCGGCACGGCAAGUCGGGAGUGAAAGCCCGGGGCUCAACCCCGGAGGGUCUCUCGAAACUGCCGAGCUAGAGUGCGGAAGAGGCAACCGGAAUUCCCAGUGUAGCGGUGAAAUGCGUAGAUAUUGGGAAGAACACCGGAGGCGAAGGCGGGUUGCUGGGCCGACACUGACGCUGAGGCGCGAAAGCGUGGGGAGCAAACAGG
rnacentral:rRNA from 1 species